UUAGGAAUAUUGGUCAAUUGACGCAAGUCUGAACCAGCCAAGUAGCGUGCAGGAUGACGGCCCUAUGGGUUGUAAACUGCUUUUAUAUGGGGAUAAAGUGGGGAACGUGUUCCCUUUUUCAGGUACCAUAUGAAUAAGGACCGGCUAAUUCCGUGCCAGCAGCCGCGGAAAUACGUAGGUCCCGAUCGUUGUCCGGAUUUAUUGGGCGUAAAGCGAGCGCAGGCGGUUAGAAAAGUCUGAUGUAAAAGGGAGUGGCUCAACCAUUGUAGGGAUUGGAAACUGUUUAACUGUAGUUCAGAAGGGGAGAGUGGAAUUCCAUGUGUGGCGGUGAAAUGCGUAGAUAUAUGGAGGAACACCGGUGGCAAAAGCGGCUCUCUGGUCUGUAACUAACGCUGAGGCUCGAAAGCGUGGGUAGCGAACAGG
rnacentral:rRNA from 1 species